rnacentral:rRNA from 1 species
CGUACUGGCCUAUACAUGCUAGUCGAGCGAAUGGAUUAAGAGCUUGCCUCUUAUGAAGUUAGCGGCGGACGGGUGAGUAACACGUGGGUAACCUGCCCAUAAGACUGGGAUAACUCCGGAUAAACCGGGGCUAAUACCGGAUAACAUUAUUGAACUGCAUGGUUCGACAUUGAUAGGCGGCUUCGGCUGUCACUUAUGGAUGGACCCGCGUCGCAUUAGCUAGUUGGUGAGGUAACGGCUCACCAAGGCAACGAUGCGUAGCCGACCUGAGAGGGUGAUCGGCCACACUGGGACUGAGACACGGCCCAGACUCCUACGGCGAGGCAGCAGUAGGGAAUCUUCCGCAAUGGACGAAAGUCUGACGGAGCAACGCCGCGUGAGUGAUGAAGGCUUUCGUGGUCGUAAAACUCUGUUGUUAGCGGAAGAACAAGUGCUAGUUGAAUAAGCUGGCACCUUGACGGUACCUAACCAGAAAGCCACGGCUAACUACGUGCCAGCAGCCGCGGUAAUACGUAGGUGGCAAGCGUUAUCCGGAAUUAUUGGUCGUAAAGCGCGCGCAGGUGGUUUCUUAAGUCUGAUGUGAAAGCCCACGGCUCAACCGUGGAGGUACAUUGGAAACUGGGAGACUUGAGUGCAGAAGAGGACAGUGGAAUUCCAUGUGUAGCGGUGAAAUGCGUAGAGAUAUGGAGGAACACCAGUGGCGAAGGCGACUUUCUGGUCUGUAACUGACACUGAUGCGCGAAAGCGUGGAUAGCAAACAGAAUUAGAUACCCUGGUAGUCCACGCCGUAAGUGAUGAGUGCUAAGUGUUAGAGGGUUUCCGCCCUUUAGUGCUGAAGUUAACGCAUUAAGCACUCCGCCUGGCGAGUACGGCCGCAAUACUGAAACUCAAAGGAAUUGACGGGGGCCCGCACAAGCGGUGGAGCAUGUGGUUGCAUUCGAAGCAACGCGAAGAACCUUACCAGGUCUUGACAUCCUCUGAAAACCCUAGAGAUAGUCCUUCUCCUUCGGGAGCAGAGAGACAGGUGGUGCAUGGUUGUCGUCAGCUCGAUGUCGUGAGAUGUUGGGUUAAGUCCCGCAACGAGCGCAACCCUUGAUCUUAGUUGCCAUCAUUAAGUUGGUGCACUCUAAGGUGACUGCCGGUGACAACUCGGAGGACAGGUGGGGAUGACGUCAAAUCAUCAUGCCCCUUAUUACCUGGGCUACACACGUGCUACAAUGGACGGUACAAAGAGCUGCAAGACCGCGAGGUGGAGCUAAUCUCAUAAAACCGUUCUCAGUUCGGAUUGUAGGCUGCAACUCGCCUACAUGAAGCUGGAAUCGCUAGUAAUCGCGGAUCAGCAUGCCGCGGUGAAUACGUUCCCGGGCCUUGUACACACCGCCCGUCACACCACGAGCUCUUGUAACACCCGAAGUCGGUGGGGUAACCUUGUUUGGAGCCAGCCGCCUAAGGUGGUAAGCAGUA